rnacentral:rRNA from 1 species
CCUACGGGUGGCUGCAGUGAGGAAUAUUGGUCAAUGGACGAGAGUCUGAACCAGCCAAGUAGCGUGAAGGAUGACUGCCCUAUGGGUUGUAAACUUCUUUUAUAAAGGAAUAAAACGAGGCACGUGUGCCUUUUUGUAUGUACUUUAUGAAUAAGGAUCGGCUAACUCCGUGCCAGCAGCCGCGGUAAUACGGAGGAUCCGAGCGUUAUCCGGAUUUAUUGGGUUUAAAGGGAGCGUAGAUGGGUUGUUAAGUCAGUUGUGAAAGUUUGCGGCUCAACCGUAAAAUUGCAAUUGAUACUGGCAGUCUUGAGUACAGUUGAGGUAGGCGGAAUUCGUGGUGUAGCGGUGAAAUGCUUAGAUAUCACGAAGAACCCCGAUUGCGAAGGCAGCUUACUAAACUGUGACUGACAUUGAUGCUCGAAAGUGUGGGUAUCAAACAGGAUUAGAUACCCCUGUAGUC